rnacentral:rRNA from 1 species
CCUACGGGUGGCAGCAGUGAGGAAUAUUGGUCAAUGGCCGGAAGGCUGAACCAGCCAUGCCGCGUGAAGGUCAGUGCCCCAUCGGCGUUUAACUUCCUUUGUGCGGGAGCAAUAAUGGUCACGUGUGGCCAGACGAGAGUUACGUACGAAUAAGCAUCGGCCAACUCCGUGCCAGCAGCCGCGGUAAUACGGGGGAUGCAAGCGUUAUUCGGAUUUUUUGGGUUUUAAGGGUGCGUAGGCGGUGAGGUAAGUCAGCGGUGAAAUGCCCCCGCUCAACGGGGUGAAGUGACAUUGAUACUGCCUGGCUGGAAUGCGGAUGCCGUGGGAGGAAUGUGUGGUGGAGCGGUGAAAAGCAU